rnacentral:rRNA from 1 species
CUGGCUCAGGAUGAACGCUAGCGGCAGGCUUAACACAUGCAAGUCGAGGGGCAACGCGAGUAGCAAUACUUGGCGGCGACCGGCGCAAGGGUGCGUAACGCGUGAGCAACAUGCCCGUAUCAGGGGGAUAAUCCAGGGAAACUUGGUCUAAUACCCAUAGUAAUUUUGUAAGGCAUCUUAUAAGAUUUAAAGCUUUGGUGGAUACGGAUUGGCUCGCGUGACAUUAGCUGGAUGGUAAGGUAACGGCUUACCAUGGCUAUGAUGUCUAGGGGUUCUGAGAGGAAGGUCCCCCCACACUGGAACUGAGACACGGUCCAGACUCCUACGGGAGGCAGCAGUGAGGAAUAUUGGACAAUGGAUGGAAAUCUGAUCCAGCCAUGCCGCGUGAAGGAAGAAAGGUCCUAUGGAUUGUAAACUUCUUUUGUAUGGGAGCAAUAAGGCCUACGAGUAGGCCGAUGAGAGUACCAUACGAAUAAGCACCGGCUAACUCCGUGCCAGCAGCAGC